AUGCCCUAUCGGGACGUCGUCGCGGCGACGGCGGCCAUCGGCGCGCUCGCCCGCGGCGGCCGGCACCGCGACGCCGUGGCCCUCUUCUCCCGCGUGCUCGCGGACGGCGUCCCGACGCCGAACGAGUUCACCUUCGGCACGGUCCUCCGUUCGGCCACCGCGCUGCGCGACCCGCGCGUCGGCGCGCAGCUCCACGCCUGCGCCGCCAAGUCCGGCCUCUGCUCCAUCGUCUUCGUGGGCAGCGCCCUCGUCGACCACUACGCCAAGAUGGGCGCCAUGAGGGAGGCCCAGGGCGCGCUCGGGGACACCAGCGAGCCGAACGUCGUCUCCUACACCUCGCUCAUCGCGGGGUUCCUGAAGAACGGGAUGCCCGAGAAGGCCCUCCGGCUGUUCCGGUGCAUGCCGGAGAAGAAUGUGGUUUCCUGGAACGCGAUGAUCGGCGGGUGCAGCCAGGCGGGGCUCAGCGAGGAGGCAGUCGGCCUGUUCCGGGAGAUGUGUCGAGAGGGCGCCAGGCCGAACGAGAGCACGUUUCCCUGCGUGCUCACCUCUGUUGCCAACGCAGGGGCGCUUGGCGUCGCUAGAAGCGUCCAUGCGUCGGCCAUCAAGCACUUGGGCAAGCUCGACGUUUACAUCGGCAAUUCUCUCGUCAGCUGCUAUGCCAGGUGCGGCAGCUUGGAGGACAGUGUGCUGGCAUUCACAAGCAUGGAGCAGAAGAAUGUGGUCUCCUGGAACGCUCUGAUCUGCGGGUAUGCGCAAAAUGGGAGAGCGGAGGAAGCUUUGGCUGCCCACAAGAGGAUGAUAGCAACGGGCUUGAAGGCAGAUAAUGUCACUCUUCUAGGACUGCUGUUCGGUUGCAACCAUGCCGGUCUGGUCGACGAGGGUUAUUCGUUGUUCAAGACAGCCCAGAGAGAGCAACCCGGCAUAUUGAAGCCUGAGCAUUACGCUUGUGUUGUGGAUCUCUUGUCUCGCGCCAAACGAUUCGAUGACGCCAAGAGGUUUCUUGAGGACCUUCCAUUUGAGCCAGGCCUUGGGUUCUGGAAGUCAAUGAUAGGAGGGUGCCUGAUUCACUGGAACAAGGACCUCGCUGAGAGCGUCGCCAACCGUAUUCAUGCACUUGAUCCAGAGGACACUUCUUCAUACAUCCUUCUCUCUAAUGUUUAUUCUGCAGUUGGAAGCUGGAAGAGUGCGUCAAUGAUCAGGAGACAGAUUAAGGAGAAGGGGCUCAAGAGGAUCACUGGCUGCAGCUGGAUUGAGGUCCAGGACAAGGCCCAUGUCUUCUUCAAUGGAGACUCUAAACAUCCUCAGAGUGUUGAAAUUUACAAGAUGCUUGAGGUUUGCCUGGAUGCUGGUGAAGAUGAACACUGCCUUGCAGUAUGA
rnacentral:rRNA from 1 species